CAUGAAACCCACAGGGCUCAACUUUUACGUUGAGACAAAACUUUCGUGGGCCAUGGCAAAAGAAAACAGUUUUCUCCUUUGAUUUUCAUAUCACUUUUAUAUGGCCCACCGAAGUUUUAGAUCAGAGUGAAAAUUAGUCCCUGGGGGGGUUUAAUGGGAUUUUUCAUCACAUGAACCGUUCGGAUUAGAGUUCCAUUACACGUGUGGAAAUUAUCGCACGUGCGCACGUGCACAGGUGAGCAUGCGUACGAGUAACACCUAAUCCACUCCCGUUUUCAAAGCGGUAAAGGAAACAUUGCGAUCAAACCCUACCGUUUCGGGGGAGGAGUGAGAGGGAGGGCGGUCGUCGCAGACACAGAGAGAGAUUGCAGAGAGGGAGGGUGUUCGUUGCAGACAGAGAGAGAUUGCAGAGAGGGAGGGCGGUCGUUGCAGACAGAGAGAGAUUGCAGAGACGGAGGGCGGUCGUUGCAGACGGAGAUAGAUUGCAGAGAGGGAGAGCGAGAGAUUGCAGAGAGGGAGAGUGGGUUUCUCCAUCUUCCCCUCUUUUUAAAAAUCCGACCGUUGAGCCUGUAAGUGGCUUACAGGGAAGUGACUUCUCACCCCCAUCGCCCUGCAGUUUUUUGGUAGAUUUGCCUGUAAGUGACUUACAGGUGAAUUUUCUCCCCCAAACACCACCUGUAAGUGACUUCCUUGUAAGUCACUUCCCACUUACCCAACUUACAGGCAUCCAAACAGGCCCU